GACGAACGCUGGCGGCGUGCCUAAUACAUGCAAGUCGAACGCAGUGGGGACGGGUGAGUAACAAGUGGGUAACCUCCCAUCAGAGGGGAUAACACUUGGAAACAGGUGCUAAACCGAUACGGAUUUAUGGACCCGGGGGGCAUUAGCUAGUUGGUGGGGUAACGGCUCACCAAGUCCACGAUGCAUAGCUGAUCUGAGAGGGUGAUCGGCAACACUGGGACUGAGACACGGCCCAGACUCCUACGGGAGGCAGCAGUAGGGAAUCUUCGGCAAUGGGCGAAAGCCUGACGGAGCAACGCCGCGUGAGUGAAGAAGGUUUUCGGAUUGUAAAACUCUGUUGUUGGGGAAGCGGUAUCUAACCAGAAAGCCACGGCUAACUCCGUGCCAGCAGCCGCGGUAAUAC
rnacentral:rRNA from 1 species